rnacentral:lncRNA from 1 species
UUUUUUUUUUUUUGUAUUUUUAGGGCUGCACCAGGAGCAUACUGUAGGUUGCCAGGCUGGGGGUCAAGUUGGAGCUAUAGUCGCUGGUCUAUGCCACAGCANCAACAACGAGGGAUCCGAGCUGUGUCUGUGACCUACACCAGAGCUCAUGGCAACACCCAAUCCUUAACCCAUUGAGUGAGGCCAGGGAUCAAAUCCGCAUCCUCAUGGAUACUAGUCAGAUUCGUUUCCACUGAGCCAGGACGGGAACUCCCAGAAACUGAGGCUUUAAAGAAGGAAAGUGAUUUGUCCGAGGUCCUGAGUAGUAGCUGGUCCUACCUUAAGCUAAACCAAAGCUGGGACUAAUUCCAAAGCCUAUGCUUCAUGCAUUCAUUUAAAAUGUCAUGCCUAGGAGUUCCCUUGUGGCACAGAAGGUUAGGAACCUAGCAUGAUUACUGCCACAGCUCAGGUCACUACUGUGGCUUGGGUUAGAUCCCUGGAUCAGGAACUUCCACAUGCCAUAGGCAUGGCCAAAAAAAAAAAAAAAAAAUGUCAUGCCCAGCUCCUAAUAGAUGCUGCUGCCCUGUCCCACUCUCUGGCAUCCAUAACCCUGAAAGAGCCAGAAGAAGAAAAAUGAGGAGUGAAAUGGGGAUAAAAAGGCAGGCACAUCCCCUCCCCUACCCAGGUCCCUCAGGCCAAAGGCUGGCCUGGACCAAGGGGAUAAUAAAUUCUAAAUUGGAGGUGAAAUUAAAGUUUUAAAGGACUAACUGGCAGAAAAUUCUCAGAUCUGCUAUAAAGGGACAUUCCAUCAAACACAUCUGAAGGCAAUGGUUAGAGGGAAUAAAACUGCCUCAUGCUUAUUUCUCACCAAGAUCUACCUGUUCAACGGACUGAUUAUAAAAGCAUGGGGCCCAUUAAGACAGGAAAGGCCCAGGGUUCUAGAGAGGGGCAGAGCAGAGGAUCAAAGCCCAGCCGUGUGGAAUCAGAGACCUCCCUGAGGAGACACGCAGGAUGAACAGUCAGGCAGAGACCUGAUGUGGAAAGAGAGAAACAUCCAGUGUGGCUGCAGCGAUGAGAGAGUGGACACGAAGGUUCUGGAGAGGUGGUGGGUAGGAAAGAACCAGAUCACAAAGGUCCGGUAGGUCAAGGUGAGGAUUCUGGACUUUGUUCCAAGGAUAAAAGCCAGCCUCUGCUGGGGUUUAAGCAGGGGACUAACACUCUGAUUUGCAUGUAUAACACACAGUGUAGUUGUGGUGUGGAGUAGAGCUUGGAGAAGUGAAGAUGCGAGUUCAAGAAGCUCAUGAUGAAUUCCAAGGGAUGAUGGUGGUUUGGACCAAGGACAAUGGAGAUGGGGGAGAGGAGGUGUGGAAACAAUUUCAAGGAGCUCAGCACUUAUCCGUGGUAAAAGGUGCAUCAUCUGCAAUUUCUCCGGAGAAAAUUCAGGACAUCAGGAUGAAUCUGUGUCACUUUUGAUCCAAAGAUACACUUGACUGAGGGGACUCUAGGCAGGCAGCUAAGACUUGACCCUGACUGGUGGUGCCAGAGGCUUUGGAAUACAGAGCUUGGAGAGAAGGGGAAGGAAAGAGCUAAGGACUGGACAAAGGAAGAUCUUGCCAUCUGGCAUAGGCAAGAUCUAGCGAUAGAUGUAUAAAAAUAUAAAGAUCAGAGUUUCCGUCGUGGCUCAGUGGUCAGUGAACCCAACCAGCAUCCAUGAGGAUGCAGGUUUGAUCCCUGGUCUCACUCAGUAGGUUAAGGAUCUGGCGUUUCCUUGAGCUGUGGUGUAGGUCACAGCUGUGGCUUGGAUCCCACCUUGCUGUGGCUAUGGCAUAGGUUGGCAGCUAUAGCUCCGAUUGGACCCCUAGCCUAGGAACCUCCAUAUGCCACAGGUGAGGCCCUAAAAAGACAAAAAGACAAAAAAUAAAAAUUAAAAAAAACCUAAAGAUUGCUUAUAUAAAUCCCUCAUCUUAUAGCUGAGGAUAUGGAUUAGUGCAUGGAGGCUAAAACAGUCUCCAUUAUCCAGCAGAUCUGGAUUUCAUCCCAGCUUUGACACUCACUAGCCAGAGAAGCCACUUGACCACCGUGAGCCUAGAUUUUUCCAUCUGCAAAAUGGGUAUAAUGAGACCUUUCUUGAAAAUCUUGCAGGGGGCUUGGGAAAUUUAAGUAAAUUACUGAUAAAUCACCAAGCAUAGCCCGUUUAUUUAGGCAUUGAAAACGAAGAGACGUGAGCUGACCUGGAAGACACACAGAAGUUAGGAAGAAGGGAAACUGGUGGUUGACUGAUCAGAUGUGGGUAGUAAGAGAAAGGGCAGAGGCUGGAUGAUGCUCAGAUGGAGGAUGAGGGACCCCUCCCACAGGUACCCCAGCCUGCCGACCCCCUUUGUGUAGGAAGCAGAGUAAUCCUCCAUUCCUCCCUCUAUCACUAAGAAAUUCUCUAGAAGGCUCCCAUAAAAGUGAAAAUAAGAAAAAGAAACAUUCAUCAAGUAUAUUUGCUACCUGCCAGCUGAGGACUUUACAUUUAUGUCAUUCCAGCCUCACAACAACGACCUGUGGGUUAGCAAGUAAUAUCCUGCCAUUUCACACGUGAGGAAACUGAGGCUCAGAGACAGGAAGCAGCAUCCCCAAGCCUCUCAGCAAAUAAGCAGCAGCUUCCGGUCUCAAACCUGGGCCUGACUCCAGCCCACCUGAGCAGCCGAGGUUGCAGGCACCCACCCCCAACCCCAACACACACACAUAGCAGGCAGUCCUCGCCAGUUCUGGCAAGUGACUGAUUUAGAGGGAAGGCUUGUCAAGAACAGCCAGGCGCCUGAGUGAAUUUGUGACCCCACAACCAGGUGUUCCUGCUGCCUGCUGACAGCACCUGGAUUACGGGUGGCAGUAAGAGGAACAGGCCCCAGGCUUUUGACACAGAUUCAUGGCACCAACCAGCUAUAGCUCUCAGGAUCCUCUGGCCCUCAAACAUCUGUGGUUCCCAGUGGCCUUGCUCCUCAAAGGGAGGUCUUAACCCAGCAGGCUUGCCUCACCUGGGAGCUCAUCAGAAAUGCAGAACUUUAUAGAGUUCCCAUGUAGUCCAGUGGGUUAAGAACCUGACAUAGCCUCUGCAAGGAUGGAGGUUCCAUCCCUCACCUUGCUCAGUGGGCUAAGGAUCCAGCAUUGCCACAAGCUGCGGCAUAGGUCACAGAUGCAGCUCAGAUCCGUUUUUGCUAUGGCUAGGGUAUGGGCUGGCAGCUACAGCUCUGAUUUGAUCCCCAGGCUGGGAACUUCCAUAUGCCACAGGUUCAGCUAUAAAAAGAAAAAAAAUGCAGAACGUCAGACCCCCUGGACCUGCUAAAACAGAAUCUGCAGGUGGUUGGCAUACACACUGACAGAUAAAAAGACCAUUGGCUACAAGUCCAGAGACCUAGGUAAGGGUCCUGACCAGCCACCAAGAGGCUCUGUGACCUUGGCCAAGCCCCUUCUCUUCCCUGAGCCUCAGUUCCUCAUAUGUGAGAUGAGGGUGCCAGGGUGCUUAGAUCAGCUGCUCUCUAAGGGCCUGCCAGCCAGUGGAGGGCACAGAGGCCUGGGAAGUCAGACUCAAAGCUCUGUAAGUAUUUAAACUAAGUAACUAAGUAACGCCACAGGUUUUUACUGAGCACCUACUAUAUGCCAGGCAUGCUAGACCCUGGUGACAGCAGUGAUGACCAAGUCAUGGAUCUAAUGAAGUUUAUAUUAAUUAAUUCUCUAGUAAUGAAAUGAAGAUAAAACCCCACCUCUACUCCCUCAAAGCUGUGUGACUUUAGCAACACAAUUCAAUCUCACCACUAUCUAGUUCUCUCACCUGUAAAAUAACAGUAACAAGGGCAGCUGACACGCAUGGACACCUAUUGUCAGACACUAUUCUAAACCCUUACAGGAUUCCCCGGGAGGCAGUAGAGCAUGAGUUCCAACCUCCUGAAAACUGUGGGGCAGUGCUUUCCCUCUCUG